UACAGAGGUCCCAAGCGUUGUUCGGAUUCACUGGGCGUAAAGGGUGCGUAGGUGGCCGUGGAAGUUUCGAUGUGAAAGCUCGGAGCUUAACUCCGAAAUGGCAUUGGAAUACUCUACGGCUGGAGGGUCGGAGGGGAGACUGGAAUUCUCGGGUGUAGCAGUGAAAUGACGUAGAUAUCGAGAGGAACACCAGUGGCGAAGGCGAGUCUCUGGACGACACCUGACACUGAAGGCCACG
rnacentral:rRNA from 1 species